GUGUCAGCAGCCGCGGUAAUACGGAGGGGGCGAGCGUUGUUCGGAAUCACUGGGUGUAAAGGGUGCGUAGGCGGUCCGAUAAGUCUGAUGUGAAAGCCCUGGGCUCAACUCAGGAACUGCAUUGGAAACUGACGGACUGGAGUACCGGAGAGGGAAGCGGAAUUCCUGGUGUAGCGGUGAAAUGCGUAGAUACCAGGAGGAACACCGGUGGCGAAGGCGGUUUCCUGGCCGAGUACUGACGCUGAGGCACGAAAGCGUGGGGAGCGAACGGGAUUAGAUACCCCGGUAGUCCACGCUGUAAACGAUGGGUGCUAGGUGUUGGAGGUAUCGACCCCUUCAGUGCCGUAGCUAACGCUUUAAGCACCCCACCUGGGGAGUACGGCCGCAAGGCUAAA
rnacentral:rRNA from 1 species